GGCAAAGUGCCAGAGUGGUUAAUGGGUCAGCCUCGAAAAAGCUGAUCUUCUCCUAACGGAGAGCGGUCAGCUUGCAUACGUAAGCUGAUGACUUCGGUCGCGCAGGUUCGAGUCCUGUCUUUGUCG